rnacentral:lncRNA from 1 species
GGAGGCUGCGGGCAGGAAGUGUGUGGCCAGCUCAUCUGUCAGCAUCCUUGGAGGAGAACUCCUCCUGGCCUGUUUGCAGCCGGCUCUGUACCUCCAGAGGGCCUGGCACCACAUCGCUGUGGAGAGGACCUAGGAAGCAGCAAGGGCCAGGCCCAGGGCCUGAGCUCUCGAGGAUGCCAUGGAGAAGGGACUGUGCCCUUCAUUCGUCCCUGACCCAGCUCAGCACUGGAAGGUGAGCCCUGCAAUGGGGACCUGAUUGGGGCAAGGAGUUGGGGAAGAGCUGGGCA